ACACUUUGAUCCUGGCUCAGAAUGAACGCUGGCGGCGUGCUUAACACAUGCAAGUCGAACGAGAAAGGGAUUGCUUGCAAUCCUGAGUAGAGUGGCGCACGGGUGAGUAACACGUAGAUAAUCUACCUUCGAGCCUGGGAUAACUAAUCGAAAGGUUAGCUAAUACCGGAUGAAGUGAAUUGACAAAAGUUAAUUGAUGAAAGAUUGCCUAUCCAUGGAAGCAAUUGUUUGGAGAUGAGUUUGCGGACCAUUAGUUUGUUGGUGGGGUAAAGGCCUACCAAGACGAUGAUGGUUAGCUGGUCUGAGAGGAUGAUCAGCCACACUGGAACUGAAACACGGUCCAGACUCCUACGGGAGGCAGCAGUGGGGAAUCUUGCGCAAUGGGCGAAAGCCUGACGCAGCAACGCCGCGUGGAGGAAGAAGGCCUUCGGGUCGUAAACUCCUGUCAGGGGGAAAGAAGGCACCUGGGUUAAUAGCCCAAGGGCUGACGGUACCCCCAAAGGAAGCCACGGCUAACUACGUGCCAGCAGCCGCGGUAAUACGUAGGUGGCGAGCGUUGUCCGGAAUUAUUGGGCGUAAAGAGCGCGUAGGCGGCUUGUCAGGUCUGAUGUGAAACCUUGGGGCUCAACCCCAAGCGUGCAUCGGAAACCGGCUUGCUAGAGUCUGGGAGAGGAGAGUGGAAUUCCUGGUGUAGCGGUGAAAUGCGUAGAUAUCAGGAGGAACACCAGUUGCGAAGGCGGCUCUCUGGAACAGUACUGACGCUGAGGCGCGAAAGCUAGGGGAGCAAACAGGAUUAGAUACCCUGGUAGUCC
rnacentral:rRNA from 1 species